CGUGGCGGACGGGUGAGUAACGCGUGGGUAACCUGCCUCAUACAGGGGGAUAACGGUUAGAAAUGGCUGCUAAUACCGCAUAAGACCACAGUACUGCAUGGUACAGUGGUAAAAACUCCGGUGGUAUGAGAUGGACCCGCGUCUGAUUAGGUAGUUGGUGAGGUAACGGCCCACCAAGCCGACGAUCAGUAGCCGACCUGAGAGGGUGACCGGCCACAUUGGGACUGAGACACGGCCCAG
rnacentral:rRNA from 1 species